GACGAAGCCGUGCGAACGUUGUUCGGAAUCACUGGGCUUAAAGGGCGCGUAGGCGGGCUGACAAGUCUGGGGUGAAAUGCCGCGGCUCAACCGUGGAACUGCCUUAGAUACUGUCGGCCUCGAGGGAGGUAGGGGCGUGCGGCAACUGUAGGUGGAGCGGUGAAAUGCGUUGAUAUCUACAGGAACUCCGGUGGCGAAAGCGGCGCGCUGGACCUCUUCUGACGCUGAGGCGCGAAAGCUAGGGGAGCAAACGGG
rnacentral:rRNA from 1 species